rnacentral:rRNA from 1 species
AUGCCAAUCCUCUGCAUUGUCACUUCCAUCGCGGUGGGAUCCGGCGCCUCAACCCUGUUCUGGUUUGACCAGUGGGUUGGGGGUCUUCCCCUCGCCGCCCGUUUCCCGGAACUAUUCUCCAUCACGGUUGACCCUCGGGUCUCCAUGGAGGUGUCCCUUAUUGACUUAGGGCACCUCGCGCUCCAUAGACCCUUUGGCCCCCUCGAGGUGGCCGCAUGGGACGCGCUCCUCCAGACCAUCACGCUCCAGCUGCUCGACAUUGGCAACGCAGGUGACACCGUCUCAUGGCGCCUCGAGUCUUCUGGGCACUUCUCAACCAAGUCCAUGUAUCAAGCGAUUACCCCUUCCAUGGCUCCUGAGCCUUUUAGUCUGAUUUGGGAUAUCUGCCUCCCCCUGAAGACCGGGAUCUUCCUCUGGCAAUGGAUUCGCGGACGGUUACCCUCAGGGGUUGAGGUGUGCAAGCGUAACGGACCUGGGGACGGCCGGUUCCCCCUCUGCGACAUGGCGGAAGAUGUGAAUCACAUCUUUUUCUUUUGCGUGACUGCUCAGUUACUGUGGUCCUACUUCUGCGAGGUUGUUGGUGGGACUUGGUGCAACACCAACUUCCUAGAUUUGUUGGCAGAGAUUCAGGCCUCCGCCCCUCGUCACCACCACAUUAGGUUGCUAUGUGUUGGGGUUCUCGCAUGGCUGCUCUGGACUGUUCGCAAUAGGCUUGUCAUCCAGCAGCCUCCUCUUCAACGUGCUACUGAUGCCAUCUUUAAAAUGUGUUGUUUCUUGCAGCUCUGGCGGACGCUUAGCCGCUCCCAAGAAUGGAACUCCAUCGACACUCUCCUCGCCGACCUCCGAGUGUUGGCCUUCCGCGUAGCACCCACGCUUUCGCCACCUCCACCUGAGCCUGACUAG